rnacentral:rRNA from 1 species
AUACGGAGGAUCCGAGCGUUAUCCGGAUUUAUUGGGUUUAAAGGGAGCGUAGGCGGACGCUUAAGUCAGCUGUGAAAGUUUGGGGCUCAACCUUAAAAUUGCAGUUGAUACUGGUUUCCUUGAGUACGGUACAGGUGGGCGGAAUUCGUGGUGUAGCGGUGAAAUGCUUAGAUAUCACGAAGAACUCCGAUCGCGAAGGCAGCUCACCGGGCCGGAACUGACACUGAUGCUCGAAAGUGCGGGUAUCAAACAGGAUUAGAUACCCUGGUAGUCCGCACAGUAAACGAUGAAUACUCGCUGUUUGCGAUACACGGUAAGCGGCCAAGCGAAAGCGUUAAGUAUUCCACCUGGGGAGUACGCCGGCAACGGUGAAACUCAAAGGAAUUGACGGG